rnacentral:lncRNA from 1 species
UACAGACUGAAAUAAAUAUGUGCCUUCAGAAACAGACAUUUUCCUUCUUCUGUUAUUCUACCUAAGUGGAGGGUUUUCUUUGCAAACUAUGCACUAUCAUCUUCACUACUAUUGCAUUUUUCAUAUACAAACGUCGUCUAAAUGAGAACACUGACUUCCCAGAUGUAACUGUGAAGAAUCCAAAAGUUAAGAAAAAAGAAGAAACUGACUUGUAACUGGAUCAUCAUUGUAUUCUCCAAGAUUUGUUUCUGUGCCCAACUUUCAGAAGAGGAAAAUCACACAUUAUGUUUACAUAAGUAGCAAAAAUAUAUUUAUGGUGAUCUGCAUUUUCAUAAUAAAGUGUCCU